UUGUGGCUAAACCUCCUUGUCAAAGCCUGAUCUCAUCAGAUCUCAGAAGCUAAGCAGGGUAGGGCUUGGUUAGUACUUGGAUAGGAGACUGCUUGUUGUGUCCUUAGGCAAGACACCAA
rnacentral:rRNA from 1 species